AUGAACUCUUCUCCAGGCUUCAUGACUGUGAUGCUCCUCAUAUUCAGGGCCCAUGGAGACUCAGUGACUCAGACGGAAGGUCAAGUGGCCCUCUCAGAAGAGGACUUUCUUACGAUACACUGCAACUACUCAGCCUCAGGGUACCCAGCUCUGUUCUGGUAUGUGCAGUAUCCCGGAGAAGGUCCACAGUUCCUCUUUAGAGCCUCAAGGGACAAAGAGAAAGGAAGCAGCAGAGGUUUUGAAGCUACAUAUGAUAAAGGGACCACCUCCUUCCACUUGCGGAAAGCCUCAGUGCAAGAGUCAGACUCGGCUGUGUACUACUGUGCUCUGGGUGA